UGAAGCCCAGCUUGCUGGGUGGAAGAGUGGCGAACGGGUGAGCCCCCCUUGAGCAACCUGCCCUUCACUCUGGGAUAAGCGCUGGAAACGGUGUCUAAUACUGGAUAUGCACAAUGGCCGCAUGGUCUGUUGUGGGAAAGAUUUAUCGGUGAAGGAUGGGCUCGCGGCCUAUCAGCUUGUUGGUGAGGUAGUGGCUCACCAAGGCGACGACGGGUAGCCGGCCUGAGAGGGUGACCGGCCACACUGGGACUGAGACACGGCCCAGACUCCUACGGGAGGCAGCAGUGGGGAAUAUUGCACAAUGGGCGAAAGCCUGAUGCAGCAACGCCGCGUGAGGGAUGACGGCCUUCGGGUUGUAAACCUCUUUUAGUAGGGAAGAAGCGCAAGUGACGGUACCUGCAGAAAAAGCACCGGCUAACUACGUGCCAGCAGCCGCGGUAAUACGUAGGGUGCAAGCGUUGUCCGGAAUUAUUGGGCGUAAAGAGCUCGUAGGCGGCUUGUCGCGUCUGCUGUGAAAACCCGAGGCUCAACCUCGGGCCUGCAGUGGGUACGGGCAAGCUAGAGUGCGGUAGGGGAGAUUGGAAUUCCUGGUGUAGCGGUGGAAUGCGCAGAUAUCAGGAGGAACACCGAUGGCGAAGGCAGAUCUCUGGGCCGUAACUGACGCUGAGGAGCGAAAGCAUGGGGAGCGAACAGGAUUAGAUACCCUGGUAGUCCAUGCCGUAAACGUUGGGAACUAGAUGUAGGGCCUGUUCCACGGGUUCUGUGUCGUAGCUAACGCAUUAAGUUCCCCGCCUGGGGAGUACGGCCGCAAGGCUAAAACUCAAGGAAUUGACGGGGGCCCGCACAAGCGGCCGGGAACAUGCGGAUAAUUCGAUGCAACGCGAAAAACCUUACCAAGGNUUGACAUACCCGAGAACCGCUGAAAAGAUACAAAACUCUUUGGACCCUCGGUUUCCNGGUGGUGCAUGGUUGUCGCCAGCUCGUGUCNNGNAGAAUGUCGGUAAGUCCGGCAACCAGCGCAACCUUCCUCUUUUUUGCCCCC
rnacentral:rRNA from 1 species